rnacentral:rRNA from 1 species
AUGACCAAGCCCAAGAGAGGGGGUGGCAUUGGGUUCAGGGAUAUGAAGCUCUUCAACCAGGCCCUUCUAGCUAGACAAGCCUGGAGGCUACUGCAGAGACCAGACAGUCUAUGCGCUCGAGUCCUAAAAUCUAAGUAUUACCCUCAUGGUAAGUUAAUGGAUACGGUCUUAGCCUCGGAGGCGUCACCGGUCUGGCGAGGGAUUGAACAUGGACUGGAUCUUCUUAAGGCCGGCCUUGUCUAG